rnacentral:rRNA from 1 species
AUUGAACGCUGGCGGCAUGCCUUACACAUGCAAGUCGAACGGUAACGGGCCUUUGGGUGCCGACGCGUGGCGCACGGGGGAGUAAUACACCGGAACGUGCCCGAACGUGGGGGAUAACGAGGCGAAAGAUCUGCUAAUAUAGCACACGAUCUACGGAUGAAAGAAGGGGAGCGCAAGGGCCUGCGCGGUCGGAGCGGCCGAUGGCAGAUUAGGUAGUUGGUGGGGUAAAAGCUUACCAAGCCGACGAUCUGUAGCUGGUCUGAGAGGAUGAUCAGCCACACUGGGACUGAGACACGGCCCAGACUCCUACGGGAGGCAGCAGUGGGGAAUUUUGGACAAUGGGCGCAAGCCUGAUCCAGCCAUGCCGCGUGCAGGAUGAAGGCCUUCGGGUUGUAAACUGCUUUUGUACGGAACGAAAAGCCUUCUUUUAAUACAGGGGGGUCAUGACGGUACCGGAAGAAUAAGCACCGGCUAACUACGUG